rnacentral:rRNA from 1 species
AUUGAACGCUGGCGGCAGGCUUAACACAUGCAAGUCCAGCGAGCGGCGGACGGGUGAGUCAUGUCUUGGUAACUGCCUGAUGGAUGGGGAUACCUACUGGAAACGGUAGCUAUUACCGCAUACCAUCAGAUGUGCCCAGAUGGGAUUCGCUAGUAGGUGGGGUAACGGCUCACCUAGCCGACGAUCCCUCGCUGGUCUGAGAGGAUGACCAGCCACACUGGAACUGAGACACGGUCCAGACGCCUACGGGAGGCAGCAGUGGGGAAUAUUGCACAAUGGGCGAAAGCCUGAUGCAGCCAUGCCGCGUGUGUGAAGAAGGCCUUCGGGUUGUAAAGCACUUUCAGCGAGGAGGCGUUACUCGCAGAAGAAGCACCGGCUAACUCCGUGCCAGCAGCCGCGGUAAUUC